GAUGAAGAACGUAGCGAAGUGCGAUAAGUAAUGUGAAUUGCAGAAUUCCGUGAAUCAUCGAAUCUUUGAACGCAAAUUGCACUCUCUGGCAACCCGGGGAGUAUGCCUGUUUGAGGGUCAGUGUUAAUAAAAAAUCGGGUGCGUUGCAAUUUUUGUGACGUUUCCGGAGUUUGAGUUAUCUUAACUUCGGUUUUUAAGAGGCUUAAAAUUGACCUUUUUUUGUGCAUUUUAGACGUACAUAAAUUUUUUUUUUAUUUGUCCAUCCUAAUGCCAAAAUCUAUUAGAUUGCGACCAUAUCUUGUGGUUCCGUGUCUAUAAAUUUUUCAUGAUUUGACCUCAAAUCAGGUAGGAACACCCGCUGAACUUAAGCAUAUCAAUAAGCGGAGGA
rnacentral:misc_RNA from 1 species